rnacentral:rRNA from 1 species
AGCGAACGCUGGCGGCAGGCCUAACACAUGCCAGUCGAACGAACCUUUCGGGGUUAGUGGCGGACGGGUGAGUAACACGUGGGAACGUGCCUUUAAGUUCGGAAUAACUCAGGGAAACUUGUGCUAAUACCGAAUGUGCCCUUCGGGGGAAAGAUUUAUCGCCUUUAGAGCGGCCCGCGUCUGAUUAGCUAGUUGGUUGAGGUAAUGGCUCACCAAGGCGACGAUCAGUAGCUGGUCUGUGAGGAUGAUCAGCCACAUUGGGACUGAGACACGGCCCAAACUCCUACGGGAGGCAGCAGUGGGGAAUCUUGCGCAAUGGGCGAAAGCCUGACGCAGCCAUGCCGCGUGAAUGAUGAAGGUCUUAGGAUUGUAAAAUUCUUUCACCGGGGACGAUAAUGACGGUACCCGGAGAAGAAGCCCCGGCUAACUUCGUG